CGGGCGGCGCUGCAGGGAGAGACCCCGCGGCUCUCCCUGGGCGGCGGGACCGGCCCUCAGGGACUCGCGGCAGCGCCCGCCCUGCUGCUCCCGCACCGCCGGCCCUGCUUCUCCCGGCCCCAGCUCCUGCGGGACCCCGAAAACCGAGCCCGACAUUGCCCUCAGCUCGGGGCUCUCCCUGCGCGGGCGCCGUGUGAGCCGUGGCGCCGCCCUGGCCGCAGAGCGCGGGGCGGCGCUCGGGGCAAUUCGUGCACCGCUGUGAGGAGAGAGUGAAAAAGAGCCCCGGUGUUUGCGGGAAACGCGCAGCAGUGAUCCGGGUGCGGGGGAGCGUGUCUAGCACAAUCCCGGGCAGGAGCGUCCCUACGGAGAAAGGUUCAAACCACUGAAGUUUAACCUUGGGGUUGGCACACGCACGUUUCCCAGGCUGGCACACGCACCGUAACCCGCCUGACUGGAGGGGAAGGGGUUGUGCUGGGAGAAGCACGGAGUGAGGUUAAAGCAGGGGGAUUUGCCAGUAGUCUGCCGUAAGGGAGGCUCCAACGCCAUCCCGAUGGAGGUAUGGAUGUCACUGAGGAGAGAGGUUUCAUGUCAUCUUGACAUAGCUGAGGCCAAUGAUGAAAUCUUUAAUGACCCGCACAGGGCUUGGAUUUUAUCCUUCAGUGGUCACAGCCUGUUGAUCUGCCCUUCUCUCCACGGAAUGAGUAAUGGCAAGUCUCCUGAAAAGGAUCAACAUUUUUAAAAAUUGUUUAAAUAUGUGUGCUGGCAGGUGGCUAGCAAACGAGUUUAAGGCAAACCAAUGUUGAAACAAUCAGUUAUAAUGAAAUAUGCACCGAAGUCUGGAUUAGCUCUUCUGUACCAGCCAGCAGCUUCCAUGUGGAACCUGCUGAUUGUGAAUCCAUCUACAUUUCCAAGAGGGUUGGACUUUGGAGUUUGAGAAGGUAAAAUGCUUAGAACUAUUUCAAAUGUGCAUAAUUCCUAUUCUUACUGUAUCUUCCCCUAAAUAUUAUUCAUAAGAGAAACAGAAAAAUUUGUGCAAAGUAGCAAGUGACACUUUCUUUUUUAGCAUGCAACAGGAGCUUUUAUAAACAGCUGUUAAUAAAAGCAUGUGUUAAUAAGUGCAUGUAGUGAUUGAGGCAAGUUUUCCCCACAUCCUGCCCAGAGAUGGAGGUCUUUUCUAGUCUGAAGAUACAGGAAAUAGCCAAGCCAGUUCCCCCAGAUCCUUUCACGGCGAUGCAACUGAACAAUUUAUUCAGAGAGUUAUGGGACCCCAUCUGCACUUGUAUCAAAAGCAUGUUUUUAUUUGCAUCUAAAUUUUCUAAUUUUCUCUUUGCUUGGAGGGUGGACAGAAAGGCUCAAAGAGGCCACCAACUUUCUUUCUUUACUGUUCAACUAAUCAAACUCUCUUCCCCUGUUUUAAUUUUUGAUUUCCUUCUUUGCUAGGAAGAUUCCUUGCAUUCCUGUAUGAAUGACUCUUUCAUGCCUAAGAGGUUCUCUGUUUGUAAUAAAUAAGAGGAGAAGGAGAAAAAAAAUCCUUAUUCCACAUUAAAAUGUAGUGAGUUAAGGACUUUUUUAUUGUACUAAUAAAUAUUUCCAAGUAUUUCAAUCCAAGGUGUAUGUCCUGUCAAAUCUCUGGAGCAAAAUACAGAAAAUGCAAUUAA